rnacentral:tRNA from 1 species
GGCGUAGCAUAGUGGUGCAGUGCGUUGAUGUGGAACAGCCGAUCGUGGGUUCGAGUCCCACGUGUGCCA